rnacentral:snoRNA from 14 species
UUGCCCGAUGAUUAUAAAAAGACGCGAAAGAGGACUUGAAGCUGGAAUUCUUUUCCUUUUAUUCUCUUCUCUACUCUUUGUCUUUAACUUCUCCUCUACUUUAAUUUUCUCUGCUUCUUUUUCUCUGCCUUUUCCUCUCUCUGGAUGUCCAGCGUCCUAUGAGCGAAGAUUAUGAGAUAUGAGGGCAA